rnacentral:rRNA from 1 species
GACGAACGCUGGCGGCGUGCCUAACACAUGCAAGUCGAGCGGAGUCGAUCGACGGAAGCCUUCGGGCGGAAGAUGGUUGACUUAGCGGCGGAUGGGUGAGUAACGCGUGGGCAACCUGCCUCGAAGACCGGGAUAACAGCCCGAAAGGGCUGCUAAUACCGGAUGUGGUCAAGGAUCCGCAUGGAUUUUUGAUUAAAGGGGAAACCCGUUUCGAGAUGGGCCCGCGUCCUAUCAGCUAGUUGGUGAGGUAAAAGCUCACCAAGGCGACGACGGGUAGCCGGCCUGAGAGGGUGACCGGCCACACUGGAACUGAGACACGGUCCAGACUCCUACGGGGGCAGCAGUGGGGAAUCUUCCACAAUGGGCGAAAGCCUGAUGGACGACGCCGCGUGAGCGAAGAAGGCCUUCGGGUUGUAAAGCUCUGUCUGGAGGGACGAAGGAAGUGACGGUACCUCCGGAGGAAGCCACGGCUAACUACGUG